AUUCCAAUCUCAGCUUUUUGGCUAAGAUCAAGUAGAGGACCCAUUCUUAUCAGUUUAAUAUCUGAUAUGUCAUCUACCUGAGGACUAUAUAUCACGUGGGCUUUUGGAGCAGGGAUGUGGAAUAGGAGCUUGCUCCAUCCAUUCCAUACAUCAACCUGGUAUUGCAGUACUUCCUGGACAGUGCACCUCAU